ensembl:lncRNA
CCCUGGCCUGUCUCCCCUUGUAUGGUACAGGUACCCCCACCACACUCCCCCUCUCUCCCUGGCCUGUCUCCCCUGUCUGGUACAGGUACCCCCACCACACUCCACCCUCUCUCCCUGGUCUGUCUCCCCUGUCUGGUCCAGGGACCCCCACCACACUCACCCCUCUCUCCCUGGCCUGUCUGGUACAGGUACCCCCACCACACGCACCCUUCUCUCCCUGGCCUGUCUGGUACAGGUACCCCCACCACACUCACCCCUCUCUCCCUGACCUGUCUGGUACAGGUACCUCCACCACACUCACCCCUCUCUCCCUGGCCUGUCUGGUACAGGUACCCCCACCACACCCCCUCU